UCGAGGCAUCAGGCUUUAAGGUUCUGAAAUCUCUUAGUUUCCGAAAAAGAGUUUGUGUCAAAAUUAAAUUGACAGCUCCUCUGCUAAAAGUUUUGUAUAGUGUGUUUGAUCGGUCGGUCUUGGAGUUUAAAGUUGUUAUUUGGCAACCGCAAGGUUACUGAAAAAAAUCGAGAGCAAUGUUUUUAAUAUUUAUGUUUAUGUUCCCAAAGUUGACCACAAGCUGUGCAACAAUGAGCCCGUAAUGUGAACCCAGUAGGAUUAAGUUUGCAUUCCUUAGCGAAUAGACAUGUUAUUGUGAACAAGGUAUUCC